UACGGAGGGUGCAAGCGUUAUCCGGAUUUACUGGGUUUAAAGGGUGCGUAGGUGGGCAGGUAAGUCAGUGGUGAAAUCUUCAAGCUUAACUUGGAAACUGCCAUUGAUACUAUUUGUCUUGAAUAUCCUGGAGGUAAGCGGAAUAUGUCAUGUAGCGGUGAAAUGCUUAGAUAUGACAUAGAACACCAAUUGCGAAGGCAGCUUGCUACAGGGAUAUUGACACUGAGGCACGAAAGCGUGGGGAUCAAACAGG
rnacentral:rRNA from 1 species